rnacentral:rRNA from 1 species
GACGAACGCUGGCGGCGUGCUUAACACAUGCAAGUCGAACGGAAAGGCCCUGCUUUUGUGGGGUGCUCGAGUGGCGAACGGGUGAGUAACACGUGAGUAACCUGCCCUUGACUUUGGGAUAACUUCAGGAAACUGGGGCUAAUACCGGAUAGGAGCUCCUGCUGCAUGGUGGGGGUUGGAAAGUUUCGGCGGUUGGGGAUGGACUCGCGGCUUAUCAGCUUGUUGGUGGGGUAGUGGCUUACCAAGGCUUUGACGGGUAGCCGGCCUGAGAGGGUGACCGGCCACAUUGGGCCUGAGAUACGGCCCAGACUCCUACGGGAGGCAGCAGUGAGGAAUAUUGCACAAUGGGCGGAAGCCUGAUGCAGCAACGCCGCAUGCGGGAUGACGGCCUUCGGGUUGUAAACCGCUUUCGCCUGUGACGAAGCGUGAGUGACGGUAAUGGGUAAAGAAGCACCGGCUAACUACGUG